rnacentral:rRNA from 1 species
GACGAACGCUGGCGGCGUGCUUAACACAUGCAAGUCGAACGGAAAGGCCCUGCUUUUGUGGGGUGCUCGAGUGGCGAACGGGUGAGUAACACGUGAGUAACCUGCCCUUGACUUUGGGAUAACUUCAGGAAACUGGGGCUAAUACCGGAUAGGAGCUCCUGCUGCAUGGUGGGGGUUGGAAAGUUUCGGCGGUUGGGGAUGGACUCGCGGCUUAUCAGCUUGUUGGUGGGGUAGUGGCUUACCAAGGCUUUGACGGGUAGCAGGCCUGAGAGGGUGACCGGCCACAUUGGGACUGAGAUACGGCCCAGACUCCUACGGUAGGCAGCAGUGGGGAAUAUUGCACAAUGGGCGGAAGCCUGAUGCAGCAACGCCGCGUGCGGGAUAACGGCCUUCGAGUUGUAAACCGCUUUCGCCUGUAACGAAGCGUGAGUGACGGUAAUGAGUAAAGAAGCACCGGCUAACUACGUG